AACGUAGGACGCGAACGUUAUCCGGAAUUAUUGGGCGUAAAGCGCGCGCAGGCGGCCUCUUAAGCCUGAUGUGAAAGCCCACGGCUCAACCGUGGAGGGUCAUUGGAAACUGGGGAACUUGAGUGCAGAAGAGGAAAGUGGAAUUCCACGUGUAGCGGUGAAAUGCGUAGAGAUGUGGAGGAACACCAGUGGCGAAGGCGACUUUCUGGUCUGUAACUGACGCUGAGGCGCGAAAGCGUGGGGAGCAAACAGA
rnacentral:misc_RNA from 1 species